AUGGAUCUUCUCCAGUUUGUGCUCAACUUUAAAGGCACACCACCAUGGCUGAACUCGACGGCCAUUAACGCCCUUACGGACCGUUGGAGGCCGGAGACGCACUCUUUUCACCUUGCUCUUGGUGAGAUGACCGUCACUUUGGAGGAUAUUGCGAUGAUCUCCGGUCUUCCGAUCGAGGGCAGGGCUCUUACCGGGAAGGUGAAGUCCGAGGGGUGGCGACAAAGGGUUGCAGGUUUGGUUGGUGUUGAACCUCCCCAGUGGAUUCAUGAAACAAAGAAGGAUCUUAGGCCAUCUGGUGUUUUGUUCUCGUGGCUACAAGAACAUUUUUACGAGUGCCCAGAGAAUGCCAGUCCGGCUGUUGUGGAGAGGUACGCAAGGGCUUACUUAUGGAAUCUUAUGACCCAA
rnacentral:rRNA from 1 species